GAAGGUAUAGCUCAGUGGUAGAGUGCAUGCCUAGCAUUUGUGAGGUCCUGGGUUCAAACCCGGUUUUUCUG
rnacentral:tRNA from 1 species